rnacentral:lncRNA from 1 species
UAUUUCCCUCUUAUUUUAUUUUAAUUUCGGACUACAACCGUGGUGGAGAAUGACGAAACACAGACGUCUCGUGUUUGAUUCCCACAAACAAAAAUUUAUGAACAGCAAGCACAUGGUGCGAAAAAUAGUAAAAAACAUAUAUGGAAUGGUAAUCAUUCUGAUGUUGAUGAAAUUAAGAAUUGGUUACAGCAAGUACAUGCACAGCAGAUACCAAUCUCUGGCCCUAUAUUACAAUAAAAAGCACAGAAUUUCACUUUUUCAUAAUUUAACAGAUUUCAAAGCUAGCAAAGUUAGUUAGACUGAUUCAAAAUUUGUAAUGGAC